rnacentral:rRNA from 1 species
UACAUGGGGUGCAAACGUUGCUCGGAAUUAUUGGGCGUAAAGCGCACGUAGGCGGAUUGCUAAGUCAGGGGUGAAAUCCUGGAGCUCAACUCCAGAACUGCCUUUGAUACUGGCGACCUUGAGUCCGGGAGAGGUGAGUGGAACUGCGAGUGUAGAGGUGAAAUUCGUAGAUAUUCGCAAGAACACCAGUGGCGAAGGCGGCUCACUGGCCCGGUACUGACGCUGAGGUGCGAAAGCGUGGGGAGCAAACAGG